UGAAGUUAACUAGGAGUUAAUCACCUUUUGCAGGUCACAUGGAGUGAUGUGCUGAAUGUACCAAGUGGUGUGAGGGUUGUACUUAGAGUUUUGACAAUUGUAUGUUUGUUUCAGUA